CGCACACUGAGGAGGCUCCCCGGGUGGCCCAUGCACUAAGGGCCACCCGGGGAGCAUGUGUCAGCAGGGGCCCGGUCGGGCGCUGUGGCGCUUAAACAGCGCGACCGGGCCCCUCUUCCGGUUCUGCAGCCGGCUGGGAGGAGUGACGUCACUUCCUCCCACCGGAGAUAGCCGCGCGGGAGGAGGAAGGCAGGGAGGAGGGGCGUUCCAGAGGAGAACUCCCAUCUGCCUCAGCCUGCCACUGGACCAGGGAAACCACCCUCCAGGAAAAGGUAAGAACCUGGAGGGUGGCUAAAUGUAUGUCAGUAGGUCUGUGUGUGUGUGUCAGUGUGUGUAUGCCUGUGUGUGUGUGUGUCAGUAUGUCUGUGUGUAUGCCAGUAUGUCUGUGUGUGUGUGUGUGUGUGUCAGUAUGUCUGUGUGUAUGCCAGUAUGUCUGUGUGUAUGCCAGUAUGUCUGUGUGUGUGUCAGUAUGUCUGUGUGUAUGCCAGUAUGUCUGUGUGUGUAUGUGUGUGUGUCAGUAUGUCUGUGUGUGUAUGCCAGUAUGUCUGUGUGUGUGUAUGCCAGUAUGUCUGUGUGUGUAUGUCAGAGUGUGUGUGUCAGUAUGUCUGUGUGUAUGCCAGUAUGUCUGUGUGUGUGUAUGUAGGUAUGUCUCUGUGUGUGUGUGUGUAUGUGUGUGUCAGUAUGUAUGUGUGUGUCAGUAUGUAUCUGUGAAUGUUUUAAUGUCUGUCUGUGUGUAUGUCAGUAUGUCUGUGUGUGUGUGUCAGCAUGUCUUUGUGUGUCAGUAUGUCUGUCUGUGUGUGUAUGGGUGUGUCUGUCAGUAUGUCUGUCAGUGUAUGUGUCUGUGUGUGUAUGUAUGUCUGUGUGUGUGUGUGUGUGUGUGUGUCAGUAUGUCUGCCAGGAUAUAUUUGUAUGUCAGUGUAUGUGUGUGUCAG